rnacentral:rRNA from 1 species
CAGUCGCCGCGGUAAUACGAAGGGGGCUAGCGUUGCUCGGAAUUACUGGGCGUAAAGGGCGCGUAGGCGGAUGUUUAAGUCAGAGGUGAAAGCCCAGGGCUCAACCUUGGAACUGCCUUUGAUACUGGACAUCUUGAGUGUGGGAGAGGUGAGUGGAACUCCGAGUGUAGAGGUGAAAUUCGUAGAUAUUCGGAAGAACACCAGUGGCGAAGGCGACUCACUGGCCCAUUACUGACGCUGAGGCGCGAAAGCGUGGGGAGUAAACAGGAUUAGAGACCCCAGUAGUCCCUGUCUCUUAUAC